UACGCUUUCCUUCCCCAUGGGGAACACCACUUCACUGUGGGAUUAGCAGCUGUUUGCUGGGCUAUCUGGAACUGCAGAAACCGAGCUACUUUUGAGCAAAAGAAACUGUCAUCUCCUUUUGAGAUUGUCUUUACAGCUUGUAUGCAUUUGAAUUACUGGGCAGGGCUCUUGAAAGGCACGGAACGGGAGGAGCUGGAGCACGGUGCGCUGCUGUUGAAGGAUAAUGCCAAGAGGAUGAUGAGGAUGUGUGCAACCGCUCACAUCGAGGAAGGUUUGGAGUGA
rnacentral:rRNA from 1 species